rnacentral:rRNA from 1 species
GACGAACGCUGGCGGCGUGCUUAACACAUGCAAGUCGAACGGAAAGGCCCUGCUUUUGUGGGGUGCUCGAGUGGCGAACGGGUGAGUAACACGUGAGUAACCUGCCCUUGACUUUGGGAUAACUUCAGGAAACUGGGGCUAAUACCGGAUAGGAGCUCCUGCUGCAUGGUGGGGGUUGGAAAGUUUCGGCGGUUGGGGAUGGACUCGCGGCUUAUCAGCUUGUUGGUGGGGUAGGUGCUUACCAAGGCUUUGACGGGUAGCCGGCCUGAGAGGGUGACCGGCCACGUUGGGACUGAGAUACGGCCCAGACUCCUACGGGAGGCAGCAGUGGGGAAUAUUGCACAGUGGGCGGGAGCCUGAUGCAGCAGCGCCGCGUGCGGGAUGACGGCCUUCGGGUUGUGAACCGCUUUCGCCUGUGAUGAAGCGUGAGUGACGGUAACGGGUAAAGAAGCACCGGCUAACUACGUG